rnacentral:rRNA from 1 species
AACGAACGCUGGCGGCAGGCUUAACACAUGCAAGUCGAACGCGUGUAGCAAUACACGAGUGGCGCACGGGUGAGUAACGCGUGGAUAUCUGCCUUUUGGUUCGGAAUAACCCCGGGAAACUGGGGCUAAUACCGGAUGGUUCCUUCGGGAUAAAGAUUUAUCGCCAAAAGAUGAGUCCGCGUACGAUUAGCUAGUUGGUGAGGUAAUGGCUCACCAAGGCGACGAUCGUUAGCUGGUCUGAGAGGACGAUCAGCCACACUGGGACUGAGACACGGCCCAGACUCCUACGGGAGGCAGCAGUGGGGAAUAUUGGACAAUGGGGGCAACCCUGAUCCAGCCAUGCCGCGUGAGUGAUGAAGGCCUUCGGGUUGUAAAGCUCUUUUGGCGGGGACGAUGAUGACGGUACCCGCAGAAUAAGCCCCGGCUAACUUCGUGCCAGCAGCCGCAGUAA